AUUGAACGCUGGCGGCAGGCUUAACACAUGCAAGUCGAGCGGAGUGAUGGUGCUUGCACUAUCACUUAGCGGCGGACGGGUGAGUAAUGCUUAUGAAUCUGCCUAUUAGUGGGGGACAACAUCUCGAAAGGGAUGCUAAUACCGCAUACGUCCUACGGGAGAAAGCAGGGGAUCACUUGUACCCUUGCGCUAAUAGAUGAGCAUAAGUCGGAAUAGCUAGUGUGUGGGGUAAAGGCCUACCAAGGCGACGAUCUGUAGCGGGUCUGAGAGGAUGAUCCGCCACACUGGGACUGAGACACGGCCCAGACUCCUACGGGAGGCAGCAGUGGGGAAUAUUGGACAAUGGGGGGAACCCUGAUCCAGCCAUGCCGCGUGUGUGAAGAAGGCCUUAUGGUUGUAAAGCACUUUAAGCGAGGAGGAGGCUCUUUUGGUUAAUACCCAAGAUGAGUGGACGUUACUCGCAGAAUAAGCACCGGCUAACUCUGUGUCAGCCGCCGCCGUAA
rnacentral:rRNA from 1 species